UUAACCUAUAUCCACAUUAUAACUGUGAGGGAACAAUUUAUAUUAAUUAAAAUUUUCCGUAUUGGAAUACCUACCGUGACGAGGCCAACUAGAGCGCAUCUCAAGUGAAGUAUAUAAUAUACAACAUUCCUUUUAAAUUAUGGUUGUGAUUAAUAACUUAAUAGGUAACUUCGGAAAGUAUCAAUUAUUUCUGUGUAUUAUAGUUUUCAUGAGUAAAUUUGGCGUUGCUUUCCACCAAAUGGCAAUUAUAUUUUUGGCGCCACCGAUCAAAUAUACCUGUCCUGCAAAUGAAACUUGCUGCAAUGAUCCUGUAUUUGAUAAAUCUAUCUUCCCUCGUACUAUAGUCAUGGAAUGGAACUUGAUAUGUGAAAAUUCGUGGCUAAAAGAUCUUACGCAAAUGCUCUUUCAGUUUGGGGUUUUAAGCGGAAGUCUUUUAUUUGGUAUAAUGUCCGACAGGUAUGGAAGACGUCCCACACUCGUGUUUUCUGUGGUACUAGAGGUAUUUACUGGAGUCAUAUCAUCCUUCCUUCCGACGUACUGGAGUUUUACAAUCGUUCGUAUGAUCCUUGGAAUGUCUGUGGGAGGAAUUAUGGUCGUCGGCUUCGUUCUUGUAAUGGAAUACGUAGGAGGAGUCUGCAGAGAUAUCAUAUCAGCACUAUUCCAUGUUCCCUUUGCGCUUGGCCACAUACUACUAGCCCUAUUCGGAUAUUUAAUAAGAGAUUACGUACAUUUUCAAUUGGGUAUAUCCUUGGCUAAUAUGGUUCUAUUGUCUUAUAUUUGCAUUCUACCUGAAUCACCUAGAUGGCUUCUAGCAGCUAAUAAAACGACCAAAGCCAUAGAAUUGAUGGAACAAGUUGCAAAAAUCAAUAAUCUUCCAACAAACGAUAUAGAUCGUCAAAUUCAACUAUAUCGCAUCGAACACAUUAGAUUUGGAGACAGGAAAGGAUCAUUUUUGGAUUUGUUCCGAACAAAAAAUCUAAGAAAACACAUUCUGGUGAUGUCUUUCAUUUGGUUUGUGUGUAGCUACUGCUUCUACGGGGUCGUCCACUACAUAAGUCACUUGACUGGUAAUGUUUACAUCAACGUUGUGGCCGGCGGGACUGUCUCUUUGUGCGCGUGCCUCAUUGCAAUUCUACUAGUGAAAGUUAUGAACCGGCGAACAUUAGUAAUUGUACCUAAUAUAUUAUCGAGCCUCUGCUUUUUGUUUAUAAGCCUCAUACCUGAAGGAACGGGAUCUGUAGUUAUGGGUUGUAUGGGGAUACUAUGUUGCUUCUUAGUGUUUGUUGUACUCUAUUUAUAUUGUUCAGAAAUGUUUCCGACGGUAGUUCGCAAUGCGGCGAUAGGAAUUGCCUCAAUGAUGGCUCGGUUAGGCGCUAUGAUAGCCCCGUUUGUUGCUGCUUUGCGGCCACAUGGAAAGUGGUGCGCACCCGUAGCAUUCGGGAUACUACCUUUAAUAGCAGCCCUGCUAUGUUUGCUUUUACCGGAGACUAAGGAUUGCGAAUUAAUGAUGACGAUAGAAGAAGGAGAAUCUCUUGGGAAUCGGGCACGAAGAAACACUGGAACAACAACUGAAGAAGUGACAUAAUCUUCUUAAAUUGCAGUUGUUUACGUUUAAUACUACUUAUGUAAUAUGGUUCUUUGUAAACUUGUUUUACAUUAAAGUAAAGUGCCUCAUUGUCUUGUUUUAUAAGUAAAUGGAUUGUUCAUAAAAUUAUAGCAAUUGAAUUCCGUAUUCAGGCAAAUGCUUCAAAUCAUCAUUUGUCAUAUUAUAGCGUUACACAACUGUAUGAUAAUUGUAUAGAUUUAUUGACUUUGAAAUAAAUUUGUAUGGGUUCUAAUCCAGCGACGGACUUCCUAAGGUUUCCUUAGCGUCCCGUCAGUUUAUGCCUGCCGCCAUGGCAGCGGGCCCUCUCAUUUGUGGUGCUUGGUAUUACACCAUUCUCGCUGGAUUUUACAUUCUGUACUGUCCUGUUAUGUACUUAAUGUUCAUAAAUCAAGUAAUAUAUCGGAAAAUCGUUGAUCUAUUAUUCGCAUUAUGGGAGCUGUAUCCAGUA